rnacentral:rRNA from 1 species
UACGGAGGGUGCAAGCAUUGAUCGGAAUUACUGGGCGUAAAGGGCGCGUAGGCGGCAUGAAAAGUCAGAUGUGAAAUUCCGGGGCUCAACCCCGGAGCUGCAUUUGAAACUUUCAAGCUAGAGGUUGGCAAGGGAAAACGGAAUUCCACGUGUAGCGGUGAAAUGCGUAGAUAUGUGGAAGAACACCGGUGGUGAAGACGGUUUUCUGUGUUAAACCUGACGCUGAGGCGCGAAAGCUAGGGGAG